rnacentral:piRNA from 1 species
UACAGUUCCUCAUGUUAUGGUGACUGCC